AUGAAAGUAGAAGAAGUUAUCGAAACUCGGAACCACAUGUUCAAUCUUUUUUUAGCGGUUUCCCCAGAGAUCUUUAUCAUUAACGCAACCUUCAUUUUGCUCAUUCAUGGAGUUGUAUUUAGUACCUCUAAGAAACAUGAUUAUCCACCGUUAGUUAGUAAUGUGGGUUGGCUUGGAUUACUUAGUGUUGCGCGCCAAGGAGGGCAGCGGAACCCUAGCAUGGGGGGACGUCCUAAUCGUACGCAGCAGGAGCAAGGGAACUCCCCUGGUUCAGGAAGGCACAUGAGUCCGAACGCUAUUAUGAAUGUGCGACCGACACUACACUACGUAGGUACCUGUGCAUGCAGGAGGGACAAUUUUACAUAUUUCUGCCAAAUCCUUCUAUUAUUAAGUACGGCUAGUACCAUUUCGAUGUGUUUCGAUUUUUUCGAAAAAGAGAGGUUUGAUGCUUCUGAAUUCAUUGUAUUAAUUCCACUUCCUACUCGCAGUAUGCUCUUAAUGAUCCCGGCUCAUGAUUUAAUUGCCAUGUAUUUAGCUAUUGAGCUUCAAAGUUUAUGUUUUUAUGUGAUCGCAGCAUCAAAAAGAAAGUCUGAAUUUUCCACGGAAGCCGGCUCAAAAUAUUUGAUCUUAGGUGCAUUUCCCUCUGGAAUAUUAUUGUUCGGGUGCGACCGGACUACUACUGAUCAAUUUUUUGGAAUUUAUUUAUAG
rnacentral:rRNA from 1 species